GGAAGUGGAGGCGCGUAGCUGUCGGAGUCCGCGCUAGGGCCCCAAACCGGGGGGGCCGGUAAAGCCGCCCCCGCGGGAAACCCUUUCCCCGGCCGGAGUUCGGCCUCAUUCCUUGCCCCGCAGUCUCGCACCUUCAGUCCCCGGCGGGGACGUAGUUUCCCAAGUUCAGCCCUCCUUACACAAGUGCCCUCCUCCAGGUCAGGCCAUUUUACUCCGUGCUGGACAUCCCUGUACGUGGCCUGCAAAAGCCCCGAAUGAAGCCCCUGCUAUUAUAGGGCUUCGGGAACUGACCGCCCUCUAGUUAACACGAGCUACCUCCCAGGGAACUACAGUCGUCCCUCCAAGUGAUGUGUGUGUUCCCAGGAUUCUGCACCCACUCAAGCUACACUCUUCCUAGCUGACAGUUCCAUCUACCCCUAGCUUCAAGUUUAUGCAGACUAUCACCUAAGUGUGUACUUCCAGCCUGUGCUUCAGAAAACCCACAUUUCCGGUUUUUUUCAAGGAGAGAGGAAAGAUGGGAAAGUUGGCAGACAGUUACAAAUGUUUAAAAGCAGUGUCUUCAGACUUUAGCAAGGGCGAUAUCCUGUUUUCCUAAAAUACUUUGUUGAAGAGACUGACCUUUCUCCCAUUGAGUGAUCUUGGCCACCCUUGUCAAAAAUCAAGUGGCCAUAGAUGGGAGGAUUUAUUCUGGGCUCUCAAGUUUAUUCCUUUGGUCUAUAUAUCUAUCCUGUGCUAGUACCACACUGUUUUGACAACUGUAGCUUUAUAUAACUUCCUUUAAUUUGUUCCUUUUCAAGCUUGUUUUGGCUAUUCAGGGUCCUUUGAAAUUCCAUGUUAAUCUUAGGAUGGGGUUUUCCACUUUUGAAAAAGAAAAACAAAAGGCAAAAAAAUGCCAUUGGACUUUUGAUAUGGAUUACAUUGAAUCUGUAUAUCAGUUUUCCAGCCCAUGAACAUGGCAUGUUUUUCCAAUUUUUUAGGUCUUCUUUAAUUUCUUUCAGCAAUGUUUUGUAGUUUUCAGUGUGUAUCAUUAGUUAACUUUAUUUUUAAGUAUUUUCUUUUUGAUACUAUUUUAAAUGGAAUUGUUUUCUUAAUUUCCUUUUUGGACUGUUCAUUGCUAGUAUAUGAAAAUGCAGAUUAGUUUUAUGCAUUGAUUUUGUAUCCUGCAACUUGGCUCAAUUCAUUUAUUAGCCCUAGUAUGUGUGUGUGUGUGUGUGUGUGUGUGUGUGUGUGUGUGUGU